UCAAAAGAAUCUUUAAGAAAUCCUAAAGAAAUCUUAAAAUAAUUACAUAUAUAUCUUAAAUAAAUCUCAAUCAAAUCCUAAUUUAAUCUUAGUUAAAAUCCUAAUGGACUUCAAUCAAAUCCUAGAUCAAACUCUAACUAAAUCUUAAAUCCUAAACUAAAACCUAGAAAAACCUCAAACUCUAAAUUAAAUCUUAAACAAAUCCUAAAAAAAUUUCAAAUCUUAAAUAAAUCUUAUAUCUUAAACCAAAUCCUAACCAAAUCCUAAACUUUAAAUCAAAUCUUAAUCAAAUCUUUAAUUCUAAAUCAAAUCUUAACCAAAUCGUAAAUAAAUUCUUAAUCUUAACUAAAUCCUAAAUCCUAAAUUAAAUCCUA
rnacentral:lncRNA from 1 species